CGACCAAUCGGCAGGCCGGCCUGUCUAAAGUCUACAGCGGCCAUUGCACGGCGCUCGGGCUCGCGUCCCCAAAUGGCCGAAUCUCGACUGCAUAAUUUCUGGUAGUGGGGGACUGCGUUCGCGCUCUCCCCUG
ensembl:snRNA U1 U1 spliceosomal RNA